rnacentral:rRNA from 1 species
GAUGAACGCUAGCGGCAGGCCUAAUACAUGCAAGUCGAACGGUGUCUUCGGACAUAGUGGCGCACGGGUGCGUAACACGUUUGCAACCUACCUUACAUUGGGGGAUCGCCUUUCGAAUGGGAGAUAAAUACCGCAUAUGACAGUAGCUGGGCAUCCAGCAGCUGUUAAAGAUUUAUCGAUGUAAGCUGGGCAUGCGUCCAAUUAGCUAGUUGGUGAGGUAUCGGCUCACCAAGGCAAUGAUUGGUAGGGGAACUGAGAGGUCAAUCCCCCCCACUGGCACUGCGAUACGGGCCAGACUCCUACGGGAGGCAGCAGUAGGGAAUAUUGGGCAAUGGACGCAAGUCUGACCCAGCCAUGCCGCGUACAGGAUGAAGGCGUUAUGCGUUGUAAACUGCUUUUAUACAGGAAGAAACGACUCUUGCGAGAGGCAUUGACGGUACUGUAUGAAUAAGCACCGGCUAACUCCGUGCCAGCCGCCGCGGUAAUAC